UUUAAUAUUUAUGUAUGAUGGGAACAAGGGAGGUAGGAGUAAAAAAAAAACCAAGUAAUAAAGCAUUAAACGGAGAUAAGUUGGCCUAAAAAAAUCAAAAUGAGCCUUUAAGAGGCAAAAUUUUAUUUUGUGUGAUUGGUGAAACUAUUUGGAUUCUUUUGAAACAACUGAGUUCAUGAGGCCAAAGCUGGACUGUCUUUGUUGAAAUGGAUCAGCAUUGGACAAUGAGAAACAAGGGAUUUGUCUAUAAGACCAAAAACUUUCUGGUUAGAGCUGAGUAUUACGAGAACCAGUAAACUCGGAAGGAAGUUCCAUGGCAGGAGUUGCUAGCAAAUUUAUCAGUUUGAAUACAAGAAAACAAAUAUGAAACAAGUUGUGCAAGAUAGUAGUAGUAUACCCUUUGAAAAGCAUCAUAUGAAUUGUGCGCAUGACAGCUUCCCUCACGGAAGCUUCCACAACCCCCUUCUGGCGUUCCAAAGCUAGCAAACUUUAUUGAUGAUAUUUUCUGCCCAGGGCCACAUGACAAAUGGGCUUUAGGCCUCACAGGUUUUUUGACCUUGCCUGAGGCUUGCAUUUGCCAACUCAUAAGAUUUGGUUGCCACUCAUAAAUAUCAGCACAUAUGCUAUCUAUUUCCCUUCUGACCAAAAAUAUCCCAUUUGGAUCUCCACCCCACUCUUCUAAGACAACCAACAAAUUGCCUGUUGGAUUUAGCCAUGUGCGAGGAACAUGAUACCUGAAAUUAUUAACGAGUAACCAGUUUGUCAGUUACCUGUGAGAAAGCAUAACCAGAGCUACAAAUAGCGUUUACUUACCAUCUCUGGGAAGCCUCCCCACAGUUACUUAAGCAUUUCUUCUCAUGAUAUGUCCCAGCAUAGUUACAGGCACCACAACUACCGGAUGCUUUAUAAGCAGGCCAGUAGCGUCCAAUACUCCUGCCAUUUAUCCAUACUUGACCUUUUCCCAUGCUGCCCAUAUCUAGAGCCAAUGGUGAAUUUCCAGCUGGUGCAUUGAAAGUUGU
rnacentral:lncRNA from 1 species